rnacentral:rRNA from 1 species
UACACACCGCCCGUCACACCAUGGGAGUGGGUUGCUCCAGAAGCCGCUAGUCUAACCUUCGGGGGACGGCGACCACGGAGUGAUUCAUGACUGGGGUG